rnacentral:misc_RNA from 1 species
GUGUUUGGUUUGUUUGGGUUGGUCGGAUCCCUGCUCGCGCAGCGACGGCCCGUCCUUCUUACCUCUUCGGUCCCAUUUCCGAGUUCGUGCAAGUACGGCCUCGGAUCGAAUCGGUUUUCUGUGUUGCGUACCCACGUUGAAGGAAUUGUCCCUCGUUCACUCGCCCCGUAUUCGGUCUUGCGCUGCUUGGGCGGCGCGAGACGGACCGUGCGGCGUCCCUCGUUGUCUUUUCUCGCCUCGCUUUCGGGCGGCGCGCGAAACGGCCAACGUUGCCUUGACGCUCGAAAUCUCGGAUGUGGAACCUUAAGCGGACGAAAAGGGGCCUUCGGUCCCGGUUUGCCCGAACUGAGCGUUCUCGCUUCUCACGAACGACUGUCGGCGCUGUGUCGGGAUGCGGAAUUCCCGUGCGGUGCCGGCGUCGAGGAGGAAUG